AGAGUUUGAUCAUGGCUCAGAACGAACGCUGGCGGCGUGGAUAAGACAUGCAAGUCGAACGAUUAAACUCCUUCGGGAGAUAUACAGUGGCGAACGGGUGCGUAACACGUGAGCAACCUGCCCAAAAGUGGGGGAUAGCUCGCCGAAAGGCGAAUUAAUACCGCAUGUGGCUAGAGGGGUCAUCCCCUCCAAGCCAAAGCAGCAAUGCGCUUUUGGAUGGGCUCGCGGCCUAUCAGCUUGUUGGUGAGGUAACGGCCCACCAAGGCAUUGACGGGUAGCUGGUCUGAGAGGACGACCAGCCACACUGGGACUGAGAUACGGCCCAGACACCUACGGGUGGCAGCAGUCGAGAAUUUUUCGCAAUGGGCGCAAGCCUGACGGAGCGACGCCGCGUGGAGGAUGAAGGUCAUUAGAUUGUAAACUCCUGUCAUGCGAGAACAAGAAAGUGAUAGUAUCGCAAGAGGAAGGGACGGCUAACUCUGUGCCAGCAGCCGCGGUAAUACAGAGGUCCCAAGCGUUGUUCGGAUUCAUUGGGCGUAAAGGGUGCGUAGGCGGUGUCGCAAGUCGAAUGUGAAAUCCCGGAGCUCAACUCCGGAACUGCAUUCGAUACUGCGGCGCUCGAGGACUGUAGAGGAGAAUGGAAUUCACGGUGUAGCAGUGAAAUGCGUAGAUAUCGUGAGGAAGACCAGUGGCGAAGGCGAUUCUCUGGGCAGUUCCUGACGCUGAGGCACGAAGGCCAGGGUAGCGAACGGGAUUAGAUACCCCGGUAGUCCUGGCAGUAAACGGUGCACGUUUGGUGUGGGAGGAUUCGACCCCUUCCGUGCCGGAGCUAACGCGUUAAACGUGCCGCCUGGGAAGUACGGUCGCAAGAUUAAAACUCAAAGAAAUUGACGGGGGCCC
rnacentral:rRNA from 1 species